AUUAAAUAAGAUAAAUCUCCGCAGACAGUAGGUGCGAAAGCGUAACGGGAAACCAACCUACCGAGGAUUUAAAUAUUCGGGAUUGGAUAUUAUAAAGCCUCUUUACGUCUGCGUGAAGAGGCUUUAACUUUUAGUUG
rfam:Clostridium colicanis DSM 13634 CLCO_contig000007, whole genome shotgun sequence.